rnacentral:snRNA from 1 species
UUCCGCGGUGUACCGCGGGUUAAA